AGAGUGAACGCUGGCGGUAGGCCUAACACAUGCAAGUCGAACGGCAGCACAGUAGGAGCUUGCUCUUACGGGUGGCGAGUGGCGGACGGGUGAGGAAUACAUCGGAAUCUACCUCUUGGUGGGGGAUAACGUAGGGAAACUUACGCUAAUACCGCAUACGCCCUUCGGGGGAAAGCCGGGGACCAGCAAUGGCCUGGCGCUGAUAGAUGAGCCGAUGUCGGAUUAGCUAGUUGGUGAGGUAAUGGCUCACCAAGGCGACGAUCCGUAGCUGGUCUGAGAGGAUGAUCAGCCACACUGGAACUGGGACACGGUCCAGACUCCUACGGGAGCAGCAGUGGGGAAUAUUGGACAAUGGGCGCAAGCCUGAUCCAGCCAUACCGCGUGGUGAAGAAGGCCUUCGGUGUAAAGCCCUUUGUCGGAAAGAAAAGCAAUCGGUUAAUACCCGGUUGUUCUGAACGGUACCCAAAGAACGUAAGACACCGGCUAACUUCGUG
rnacentral:rRNA from 1 species